UAGUCCAUGCUGUAAACGAUGAAUACUAGCCGUUAGAACUAUAAAGAGUUUUAGUGGUGGAGCUAACGUAUUAAGUAUUCCGCCUGGGGAGUACGGUCGCAAGAUUAAAACUCAAAGGAAUUGACGGGGGCCCGCACAAGCGGUGGAGCAUGUGGUUUAAUUCGAUGCAACGCGAAGAACCUUACCUGCGCUUGACAUACUCAGAAUCCUACCUAAUAGUAGGAGUGCCGUAAGGAGCUGAGAUACAGGUGCUGCAUGGCUGUCGUCAGCUCGUGUCAUGAGAUGUUGGGUUAAGUCCCGUAACGAGCGCAACCCUUGUCUUUAGUUGCCAGCAUGUAAUGAUGGGGACUCUAAAGAGACUGCCGGUGUUAAGCUGGAGGAAGGUGGGGACGAUGUCAAGUCAUCAUGGCCUUUAUGCGCAGGGCUACACACGUGCUACAAUGGACUAAACAGAGGGCAGCGAAACGGAGACGUGGAGCGAAUCUCACAAAUUAGUU
rnacentral:rRNA from 1 species